UGGGGAAUAUUGGGCAAUGGGGGAAACCCUGACCCAGCAACGCCGCGUGAAGGAAGAAGGUCUUCGGAUCGUAAACUUCUAUCCUCGGUGAAGAGGAGAAGACGGUAGCCGAGAAGGAAGCCCCGGCUAACUACGUGCCAGCAGCCGCGGUAAUACGUAGGGGGCAAGCGUUGUCCGGAAUGAUUGGGCGUAAAGGGCGUGUAGGCGGCUAAGUAAGUCUGGAGUGAAAGUCCUGCUUUUAAGGUGGGAAUUGCUUUGGAUACUGCAUAGCUAGAGUGCAGGAGAGGUAAGUGGAAUUCCCAGUGUAGCGGUGAAAUGCGUAGAGAUUGGGAGGAACACCAGUGGCGAAGGCGACUUACUGGACUGUAACUGACGCUGAGGCGCGAAAGUGUGGGGAGCA
rnacentral:rRNA from 1 species